ACUCGUCCGCACCCGUAGUGCCAGAAAAAUGUCAGCCCAUAUCAAGUCGGUGAGAAGAAGAAAAUACAUGUGGUCCCACCUAUUGGGCUCGUCGCGCUAUCGUCUGUAUAAUCGGUCGAUGAAGGCCCGAGACGUGGCGCGAUCAUGACGCUUUUGCCCCUUUCACUCACUUGUUUUAACCUCAGUCUCUGUUUCGGGCUCAGCAGUGAUCUGUCGAACUCCAUCGGCUAACCAAUGGAUAACUUUGGGAAACCAAACUUUUAUGGAAGCUGCGCGGGCGGCGUCGCCGGAGAAGAUAUCCUUAACAGCCUUCAGGGCGGCGGUUCUAACUAUCAGGGCGCCAUGGAAGCUCUACUACAACACAUGGAUCAAGAUCAGUUUAAUCAAAUUGAUGUCACAAGUAGUGGAGAGGCACAUCAGCAGGCAACAAAAGAAUAUUGCUCCUUGCCACAAGGUUCAAUUGUGUCUAAAGAUGCCCAUUCCCCAGUACUUGCUCCUAAUGCUGACCUAGAAAAGGCUGAAAAGAAAAGAAAAAUUGAUCAAGCAUAUAGAGAAAGGUGCAAGUGUUCUUUCUUAUGUACAGAAAACCAAAACGCAAAUGAUACGUGACUUGAAGACUUUUGGUGAAGAAAAUGAGCAUUUGAGGAUGGAGAAUAAAACUCUGAAGGAGGACAAUGCUUCAAUGACUCAAAUGUUGCAGUCUCAAACGAAAGAGUUACUCCAACAUAAAAAUCGUCUGGACCAGUUGAAAUUUGAGAAUGAGAAGCAAAAUGCUCUUGUACAAGUACUUUCAGACCUUGUAGUCAAUUCUAAUCUUUCCCACGAAAAUCAGAAGCUGAAAGAUGAAAAUGCACAGUUGAGACAAAUGGUCAAAUUGAGUGGUGAGCCAUUAAAGCUUGUGCAGGAGAAUGGAAAAUUACAACACGAAAAUAUGUUACUCAAAGUGCAAAUAGAUGCCUUAUGUGGGAAGAUAGUCGAUGACAAUAGAAAUAAUUGUGGCCGUUGAUUGACUUGUAUAAGGAGCAACGACUGCUGUUGCAAAGUUUCCUUAGAAACAGAAUUUAGAUUGAUCCAACUCUUCGAACAUACCUUCCCAACGUCCGUAUAUAAUCAACAGCACUGGCUGAUAAAUGUCAUUUUCAGCACAAAAAUUCAAAAGUAACUAAGAGUUCAUUAUCAAGCAAAGGAGUUAAAUGAAAACAAACGUCAAGGUAUGAUAAUCCACACCUUUCAUAAAGCUGCCCAAGCUCAGUUCAAGUGUUUGGACUUUGGAGUGGAAAUUAGCAUAAAAACUCGAGCCUAACUAUGUUUUAGUGUUUGCUCUUUUUGGUAUGUGAAAAAAAUGAUACUUAAAUGUAGAUGACUUAGCUCAAGAAGUCUUAUGUGUUGUAAAGUAAUGUAGCGUUUAAUAAAUCGAAAUGGUAUUUUUCUUUCCUGGUU